GCAUAACGCGAAGAACCUUACCCAGGUUUGACAUCCUACUAAUUUCUCCGAAAGGAGAGAGUGCCUUCGGGCCGUAGUGACAGGUGAUGCAUGGCCGUCGUCAGCUCGUGUCGUGAGAUGUUUGGUUAAGUCCAUCAACGAGCGCAACCCUUAUAGUUAGUUGGAUUUCUCUAGCUAGACUGCCCUGGCAACAGGGAGGAAGGAGGGGAUGAUGUCAGGUCAGUAUUUCCCUUACAUCUGGGGCUACAAACACGCUACAAUGGCCGGUACAAAGGGCAGCCAACCCGUGAGGGGGAGCAAAUCCCAUACAAAGCCGGUCUCAGUUGGAUAGCAGGCUGAAACUCGCCUGCUUGAAGUCGGAAUCGCUAGUAACGGUAGGUCAGCACACUACCGUGAAUACCGUUCCCGGGUCGUUGUACACACCG
rnacentral:rRNA from 1 species